rnacentral:lncRNA from 1 species
AUUGGAACUAGGUGAUAUUACUUGCACACUUAAACAAAGCUGGUAACCAGCUCUUUGACCAUCAAGUUACAUCAAUUUGUCAUUCAAAAUGAACUAAAUUACAAAAACAUUGUUAAAAAAAGUAACAAAAUGAAACUGAGAUGAAACAGUAGCAUUAACAUCUUCAGUUGCACGUACUUUACCCGGACAACUUAUGUGCAUAAAUUCUUACGUGCAUGAAUCUGCAUGAGCUGCAUGUCCACCUUUGUUGCUGCAUGUGUUGCAUGGGAACUAACUUCAACACUCCUCCUUAGUUUUCAUGCUUGUAACACCUAGCUGCUUUCUCAGUUUUAUAAAUCUUGACAUACCGAGGGCCUUUGUGAAGAUAUCAGCAACCUGUUCUUCUGAAUUGCAAUGAAUCAGCUCCACCUCUCGAGCUUGUUCCAUCUCCCUUAUCAAAUGUAAUUUGAUGCUGAAGUGCUUCGUUUUACCAUGGAAGACAAGAUUCUUUGCAAUUGCAACAACAGACUUGUUACACAUAAGAUCUCUGUUGCUUCCCUUUGAUGUAGUUUAAGAUCAGCUAGAAUUUUUCUUAGCCAAAUGGCUUGAUUUACAGCAUUGGCAGCUGCAACAUAUUCAGUUUCUGCUGUUGAUUGAACCACCAUUGAUUAUUUCCUUGAGCUCCAACAAAACAUGGUUGAGCCAAGGGUAAAAGCAUAUCCAAAGGUGCUUUUCAUAUCAUCACUUGAACCAGCCUAGUCACUAUCUGUGUCUCCAACAACCUUCAAACUUUCAACCUUGUUAAAUAGCAUCCCAUGGCUUAAAGUACUCUUGAUAUAUCUAAGCACUCGUUUGGCAGCUUGAAAGUGCUUCUCAUUGCAACAAUGCAUGAAUCUUGAGAGCAAACUGACAACAAACAUAAUGUCUGACCUAGUAGCAGUUAAAUAUAACAAACAACCAACUAGGCUCCUGUAAGUAGACUCAUUGACUGGUUCAUGAUCUCCUUGGUUUGACAGCUUCAUUCCAACAGCAAUCGGAAUGCUUGUUGGCUUACAAUUCUCCAUUGAGAACUUGGACAAAACCUUCAAGGCAAAUGUUCUCUGACUUAGAAAGAUUCCUCCUUGAGCUUAAGUCACUUCCAUGCCAAGGAAAUAAAUCAUCCUUCCUAAAUCAGACAUUUCAAACUCCUACUCCAUUUUGGCUUUAAAAUCAGCCAACAUUGCUUGGUCUCCUCCUGUGACCAAAAGAUCAUCAACAUAGAGAGACACAAUGAGCUGUGCUUCAACUCCUUUCUUCUUAACAUAUAAUGUUGGUUCACUGAGGCAUCUUUGAAAUCCCAAACUGACCAAGUACCUGUCAAUACCAGGCUCUAGGAGCCUGUUUCAGGCCAUAUAAUGCCUUCUUAAGCUUGUACACCAUUUGUUCUUUGCCAAAUACAAUGAAGCCUUGAGGUUGAUCAAUGUAGAUCUCUUCUUCAAGGAAGCCAUUGAGAAAUGCAGACUUCACAUCAAGCUGGUGGAUUUUCCACUACAUCUGAGCUGCCAAGGCAACCAGUAACCUGAUGGUGUCUAGCCUGGCCACUGGUGCAAAUGUUUCCAAGUAGUCUAGACCAUAUUUCUGGCUGAAUCCUUUGACUACAAGCCUGGCCUUCAAUUUGUUCAAGCUCCCAUCAGCAUUUUGCUUAGCUCGAUAAACCCACUUUACUCCAAUAACCUUCCUCGUGGCUGGUCUAGGAACCAAUUCACAUGUCUGGUUCUUCUCGAUCAUGGCAAUUUCAUCAGCCAUAGCCUGUUUCCAUCCUUCAUCAGCUUUAGCUUCUUCAAAACUGCAUGGUUCUUCUUGUGCAACAUGAGCCCUCUCAUAAACAUCAGCCAAAGUCUUUGUACCCCUGACUGGUUCAUCAUCAACAUCCAUCUCUGGAUCAUUUUGAUCAGAUUCAAACCGAUCUAUCAUAAGUUCUUCAGAAAUGAGUUCAGGUUCAUUUCUUUCCCAAUUCCAAUAAGCCUUCUCAUCAAACACCACAUCUCUGCUCACUUGGACUUUGUUGGUUAAAGGAUCCAGAAUCCUAUAACCCUUUUUGACCAUACUAUACCCGGCUAAAAUACCAGGAAUAGCUCUUUUGGACAACUUAUCCCUCUUUACAGCUGGUACUUGGCUGUAACAUAGGCAACCAAAGACUUUCAUAUGAGCCAAUGAUGGCUUGAACCCAAACUAGGCCUCAAAAGGUGUCUUGUGAGUAAGUGCUUUGGUUGGAAGCCUAUUCUGAAUGUAGACAGCAGUAUUGACAGCUUCAGCCCACAUGGUCUUGGGCAAAUUUUUCUCAAACAAUAAGCAUCUGGCCAUAUCCAUCAAGCUCUUGUUCUUCCUUUCACUAAUCCUAUUUUGCUGGGGUGUGUAAACAUUGGUUAGCUGGUGUUUGAUGCCAGCAUCAUCACAGAAGGUAUUGAACCCGGAUGAAGUAUACUUUGUUCCAUUAUCAAACCUAAUGGUCUUUAUCUUGCAGCCUGUUUCUGUUUCCACUGCAGCUUUAAACUUCAUAAACACUUGAAUAACCUCAGGCUUAUGCUUCAAGAAAUAAUCCAGCAAUAUCUGGUACAGUCAUCAAUGAAGAGAAUAAAGUACCUGUUGCCACUUAGUGAUUCAGUCCUCAUGGGGCCACAAACAUCAGUGUGCACCAAUUCCAACUUGUUUGAUGCUCUCCAGUUGGUGUUUGCAGGAAAUGGAAGCCUGGCUUGCUUUCCCAUCUGACAAACCUCACAAACAUCUUCAAUCUGAACUGUCUUGGUGAAGUUUUCAACCAUUUCCUUGCUAACCAUCCGAGCCAUAGAUUUGAAGUUGGCAUGACCAAGUCUUUGAUGCCAAAGCUUGGUGUCUUCUGUUGAAGCAACAUGGGCUGAGUGUGAGUCACCUGACCAGUUGACUUCAAAGCAUUUGUCACUCAUGGUGAUUGUCAUGAGACUUGAUCCAUUUGGAUCAGUGAUUUGGCACUCCUGGCCUUUGAACACAACAGAGUACCCAUUUUCCAGCAGUUGAGAAAUGCUAAGUAGGUUCCUGUCAAUCUCAGGUACCAGCAGUACAUUUUUUAUGAUUUUGUCACUUGUGGCAGUACAUAUUUGCACAUCUCCCUUGCCUUCAGCCUUGAUUAACUGACCAUUCCCAAUUUUUACCUUGGUUUUGCAGGAUCUGUCCAAGGUUUUAAAAAUGGUUGCAUCUGGUGACAUGUGGUUGGUGCAGCCACUGUCCAGCAACCAGCCUUUUGUACCUUUCUUCUGGCCAGCUGAGCAUGAAACAGCAAAGACCUACUCUUCAUGGUCACUAUUGUCUUCAGCCACUCGAGCUUCUUCAUUCUUGUGUUGUGAUUGGUUUUGGCCAGGUCUGCCUCUUUCUUUGUAAACCCUCUCAACAUGGCCCUUCUUCUUACAGUGUUGACACAUAACAUCUGGUCUAAACCAGCAUCUGGCCUCUGGAUGACCAGGUCUUUUGCAAAAUCUGCAGAGUCGAUCUCCUCCUCUUGCAGUAUCAGGCUUAGGCUUGUUUCUCCAAUUCUUCUUGCCUUUAUAGGCUGAGGUGCUCGAGGCUGCUUUGGCCUUAGCUUGGAAAGCACCCUCCUGGUGCUCCUCCUGUCUGCUAACUCUCCUUUGCUCUUGUGCAUAUAGAGCAUUGAUCAGCUCUGUUAAAAAGAUGCUGGUCUGGUCUCUUGAGUCUUCAAGGGAUGAUAUCUUUGCCUCAUACCUUUCAGGCAAGGUUGAGAUCACCUUCUCCAUUAUCCUUGCUUCAUUAAACUGCUCACCAAUGAGCCUUAUGCUGUUUACUACAACCAUAAUUCUGUCAAAGUAUUGUUUCACUAUCUCUUCUUCCUUCAUCGUGAUAUUUUCAAAGUCUCUUUUCAAGUUUAGUAACUGCUGCUGCCUUGUUCUUUCAGUGCCUUGGAACUCUUCUUUAAGCUUGUCCUAAGCCUGCUUGGGAGUCUCACAAGCCAUGAUCCUAGUGAAGAUAACAUCAGAAACACAGUUCUGAAUGCAUGACAUGGCCUUGUGUCUUUUAGUCCUCUCAUCUGCAUGCUGUCUGAUUUGAACAACUGUGGGUUUGGUUCUGAGUGGAGUUGGUUCAGCAUCUGUGUUGACAACUUCCCAUAGAUCAAAGGCCUGCAGGUAAGUCCUCAUCUUGACCUGCCAUAUGUGGAACCCUUCACCAUUAAAGACUGGUGGUGCAGCUGGUGAGAAGCCUGAUGAAGUCAUCGUUUUGAAAGUAUGAUAAAACAGGUCCACUAAGAAAUGAGCUCUUGAUACCAAUUGUUGGAGAUUUGGCACUCUUUAACAGGAUGAAGUAAGAACUUCAAUCUGGACUUUAACAGCAGUGUAUUAUACCCAGAUAAAGAAUGAAAGAAAAAUGCUGAAAAAUUCAAGCUUUGAGCUUCUUGCAAGAAUAGAGAACAGAAUUUUGAAAACAAAGAGAAGUGGAGCAUAUGGAAGUAAAAAUCUGAUUAUUUCAUUCAAAAGAAACUUUGGCUCAAAGCCAUUACAUAUAUCAGUCAUUGGCUGGUCAAAAAAUCAACCUAAACACUACCUAACUCCACUUAUUACAUUGGAACUAGGUGAUAUUACUUGCACACUUAAACAAAGCUGUUAACCAGCUCUUUGACCAUCAAGUUACAUCAAUUUGUCAUUCAAAAUGAACUAAAUUACAAAAACAUUGUUAAAAAAAGUAACAAAAUGAAACUAAGAUGAAACAGUAGCAUUAACAUCUUCAGUUGCACGUACUUUACCCGGACAACUUAUGUGCAUAAAUUCUUACGUGCAUGAAUCUGCAUGAGCUGCAUGUCCACCUUUGUUGCUGCAUGU